GGAAGAGAGGGAAUAUCCAGGAGGAAAGUGCUAUCCUCAGCUACAAAACAUCCCCUGGGAACCCACCUUGCCUUGCAGCUCUUGUGUGCUGACUUCCCCUGGUGUGAAGGUAGGUUGAAGUGCCAGCUGUUAGAAGGAAUAAUUAUCACAGCACUUCCUGCUAGCACUUCAGAUUUUAGAGAGGAGAACCAGAAGUUACCUGAUUCCACAGUUUGGAUUCUUUUUCCCUUUUUUUUUUUUUUUUUUUCUUACUGCCUUUGCCAGUUUUAUUCUGAGUAUUCAACACAUUGAUAAGGUUUAUCAUUGCAGUGACAAUCUUGUAAGCUAUAUUCAUAAUACCAUUUUAAAUGAGAUGUGGGGUAAACCUGUCCUAUUAUAGACUUGGAAAUCCUCUCACAUUUAAAUCUAAUCCACGUCUUCUAAACAUUUAGGAUGAUAGCAGUGACUAGGAAAUGCUGAGAAAUGUGUCUGUGCUCCAGAUUACAAAACACAAAGGCAAUAACUGUAAUGUGCUAUUGCUCUCUGCCUGCUUUUAGCUUACAGCUAAUUGCAUAGAUAGGGACCAUCAUUUACUGCUGAUGCUUAUGCACCAUUCAUUCACACACAGCAGUCACUUCCUCAUCCCUAUGUUAAUUGUCUGUCACUAGCAGUGUAGCUCGUACCUCUGUGAGGCCAUCUAAACACGCUGUUACCCUGCUAUCCACUCUGCUUGUGUUCCCAGACAGACCAUGGCUGAUCAUUGCUGAAAUAACAGCUAUGUGUAUUAGUUUUACAAGGGGCUGAAACCAAAUAAAUUAACAAACCUGCUUCA
rnacentral:lncRNA from 1 species